AGAGUGAACGCUGGCGGUAGGCCUAACACAUGCAAGUCGAACGGCAGCACAGUAGGAGCUUGCUCUUACGGGUGGCGAGUGGCGGACGGGUGAGGAAUACAUCGGAAUCUACCUUUUGGUGGGGGAUAACGUAGGGAAACUUACGCUAAUACCGCAUACGCCCUUCGGGGGAAAGCCGGGGACCAGCAAUGGCCUGGCGCUGAUAGAUGAGCCGAUGUCGGAUUAGCUAGUUGGUGAGGUAAUGGCUCACCAAGGCGGCGAUCCGUAGCUGGUCUGAGAGGAUGAUCAGCCACACUGGAACUGAGACACGGUCCAGACUCCGUACGGGAGGCAGCAGUGGGGAAUA
rnacentral:rRNA from 1 species